UGAUGACUCACUCCGGAAUCUCUGCAUUUCUGUGAUGAUCCCCUGAACCCUUUAUUCUGAUGGCUGUUUGUC